rnacentral:rRNA from 1 species
UGCCAGCCGCCGCGGUAAUACGGAGGGUGCAAGCGUUAUCCGGAAUCACUGGGUUUAAAGGGUGCGUAGGCGGAUAAAUAAGUCAAUGGUGAAAGCUCUGAGCUUAACUGAGGAAUUGCCUUUGAUACUGUUUAUCUUGAAUUAUGUUGAGGUUAGCGGAAUGAGUCAUGUAGCGGUGAAAUGCAUAGAUAUUACACAGAACACCGAUUGCGAAGGCAGCUUACUAAAUUGACAUUGACGCUGAGGCACGAAAGCGUGGGGAGCGAACAGGAUUAGAUA